UACGUAGGGUCCAAGCGUUAUCCGGAAUCACUGGGCGUAAAGCGUGCGUAGGUGGCGUGUUAAGUGUGAUGUUAAAUCGUGUGGCUCAACCAUAUCGAUGUGUCGCAUACUGGCAUGCUAGAGGGAAGCAGAGGCAAGUGGAAUUUGUAGUGUAGCAGUGAAAUGCGUAGAUAUUACAAGGAACACCAAUGGGCGAAGGCAGCUUGCUGGGCUUCUUCUGACACUGAGGUACGAAAGCGUGGGGAGCGAACAGG
rnacentral:rRNA from 1 species